AUUCUAAUUCUAUUCUGUGGGCGCAUUUUGCUCACAAAUAUUCAUUCAACAAACAUUUAUUGAGCACAGCCUAUGGGCCAGACACUGUAGUAGGUACUAGGUUUAAAGUUUGACUCAAUACUGUCACUGUGGGCCAGUCAAGUCUUCAAAAAUUCCACUUCCUCACGCACCCAGACAAGCACUGCUGCUCUUUCCCAUUUCCCAGUUUGUGGGUGAAGGUUAGAGAAGAAACUGUUUAUCUUCUAAAAUGUAAUGCUCUCUAAUCUUGGAAGAAGAAAAAAAUGGUGAGGAGAUAAAUAGGCUAGCCAUCCAGAUUUACUUUUUUGUAAUUUCAAACAGUGCCACAUUCCCACUGAGUUCUCAAUAGACAUCUAGGGUCCAGGGGACUGCAAAAGACCAUCAGAACGCACAGCAGUCUCCAAGAGGCCUGCCCCUCACUCCCAAGCACAGUAGGGCACCAGGUCCCCAUCCUUGGCCAAUGGAUAGCAAACAUUAUACUUGGGUCCUGACAAAACCUUUUACCGUGUAAACAAAGAUGCUGAAUUCAGUUGUCAUGUUACACAAGUAACAUGUGCUCUUUUUCUAUCACAACAUUUUAGGGCAGAAGAAAAAACACAUACCCAGAAGAGAGUGUGAGUCACUUUAUUACAGAUAAACUUUAGAAGUUCUCUUCGACUUUUUAAAAAACCACUUUUCAUCUGAAAUGAAGUUAUAUACAUUUUGCUUCGCAAAUCACUGUGUGGAGAUGAUUCUGAGACGCAACGCCUGAAAAGGCCAUGGAGUCGAAGGGCAUUCUAUUAGUGAGUUUAGAUUAUAUGAACCAAUUUAAUGUUUGAAUGGGUAAAAAAAGACGGCUUUAAAAAACAUAAGAAGGGUUGUCAAAGAAAAAGAUGUCUUACAGUUUAGAAAAAUCAUGAAGUAAAGACUGUCCACUUUCAGUUCAAGACGAGAGCUUCUGCCGGUACAUCAGCACGGCUGUCACAGGUGAUGUGACAUUUAGUGUUCCGUGUGGCGUUUUACAAUUUUUACAUGGCCAAAGCAGCAAAAACUGUGUUAUUAUUUAUCCAGUAGGACUAUAUAGAAUGCAUGAAAGACCUUGAUAUGAGGCAGUGCCAUAGAGGAGAGGAAUACAACGUGGCUGUGUUCACACACUCGAGCCUGGGCCUGCAGAGCUGGUUUCUCCACAGCGAUUUCCAAGCCAAGGAGUAAAUCCUAUAACCAGCAAUAGUGAAACAGCACUGGAAAAAGAAUCAGGGAUGGCAUUUUAAAGAAACAGUGUAUAAGAAACUAGAAAACCUGCCAGACUUUUAACAAAAAGAAGAGCAAAUAAAGCCCAUGAAUGUUUAGAAAGCAAAGAUGAUAAAAUCUGGGGAGCAUGAGAAGGUGAAGUGCCUCUCACCCAGCAUAACUAAAAAAAAAUCCUAUUUUCUUAGAUGCAGCCUAGCAUGUAUAUUAAUACAACCCCCUCUCCCCCCAAACCACAGUACCCUUUAACUUCAUGAGUGAUGGAUAGCAAGAAAACAUAGCAGAGUUUCCCAACUCUAAUGGAAAUGGUCAAAUCUUAUUUAGUCCACAAGUAUUUAUGAAAAAUCUAUGUAAAAGGCAAUGUGAGUUACAAGUUACACAAGAGGGCCCCUAUCCUAAGGUAGCUUAGAUCAAGAGAUGAAACAAGUAAAGAGAUAACCACAGUACUAGGCAGCAUAUGACAAGUGCCCAAGAAGGCUGCAUCCCCAGGUGUGGGGGGAGAAGGGCUGCAGGAAGGCAUCCUGGAGAAGGUAUAGACGGAAGGGAGCAGCCUCCAGGGACAAGAAUGGGCCCAGCCCCUACUUGGCAGAGUUCUUCUGGAACCAAAGACCCCAGGCAGGAAAUGUGGUCUGUGUGCAGAGAAGUAGUGUAGCCCUUCUGACCAUGCCCGCUGGGAAGGGAGACCCUCACCAGUUCCAGAAGGCAGAAGAAGGGUUUGGGGAGGCACAGAGAGGAGACUUUGGGAAUAUUAUACAAGUUGGGGGGGUAUCUAGGGGCUCUUAGACCAGCUCAGGAACGAGGCACUGUGGCCUGCACUGGGGUGGCGGCUGAGAGAAUGUAAGGACAGAGUAGAGGGGAGAGGCAUUGAAAUCACGGGGGAGAACUGGGAGGAAGGGAAGGAAGAAAACAAGCAUGACCAAGUCAGUGGUGUCUCAUGUGCUUUACCUGCAUGUCUUAUGUAAUUAAUCCUCACUACAUCUUUUCAGGGAGAGGCAGGGACUAUUCUCACAGGUUUUCAAGGAAGAGAAGUGAGGAUUAGGGAGGUUAAGUGAUUGACAGAGAUUUCCCCACCAGGAGUGAGAAAGCCAAAAUUUCAAAGUGAGGCUGCAUCCAAUUAGACUGCAAUUUCUCAUUAAUAAGGCUCUCUCAAUCCAGGCAGGGAACCUCUAAAGGGUAGAAAAGGUGUUUUUAGAUCCCCAGGGGCCAGCAUACUGUCAGCACAAGUUGAGGCUCAAAAAAUGCUAAACAGCUCAAUGCCCGGUGAUAUUAAGUGAGAAACAGGACAUACACACCUAGCUGGAGUGAGGGUGGGCUCAGUGUGGAAGCCAGGCAAACUCUCCUACUUUAUACUUUCUUGCCCCAAGAUCAUCUCUGCCUUUGCUGUGUGCCCUUGGGAACAGGCCCUGUGCUCAAAAAGGGGUGGGGGGCUGUAAAGCCCCUACUCUCAUGGAGUUUACAGUCCCACAGAACAAAAACAACAUUACAGCAGUAGCUGUAAUAUAAUGGGAAGUUGGGUUUUAUGAGAGGACAAGUACAGAUGAAGUACAGUUAGAGGUGGUGAUUAUCUGUGGGGUUCAGGGCAGGCUUCCUGGAGAAGUUGGUACUUGGAUCCCACAUUGCACUUCAGGAGCGGGCACCUCACUCACUCCUUGUUUUCCCUCGAAGCUGCCCUUGGAGGUGAUCUGAAAAUUAUGGGGCACUAGAGACAAGGAGAGGUAGGGGAAGAGUGAAGAGACACUCAAGUAGCCUGACCCAAACCCCUGUAGGGUUAAUCCUGUUUCCAUUUCCAAGGUAAAAUGAGCUGUGAUGUCACGGAAACCCAGCUCCUCCACUAACUGGCUCUGAGCUCUUGUUCCUUGUCUGUAAAACAGAUGAUUUCUUUCAGGUCUGGGCUGCUACAGAGGGAUUAAUAACACAAAUAACUCUAACAAUUGACCUCUUAAAUCAGGAACUUAAAUCAGACCUAAGCACUUUACCUGCUUUAUCACAUCUAAUGUGCAAAACUCUCGUGAGUAGGUAUUAUUUCCAUCUCCAUUGUACAAAGGAGGAACCAGAGCCUGAGACAUCAGAUAACUUGCCCAAGAUCAAGAUCACCCAGCCUUGCUCUCAUGGCCACUCCACGCUGUAGAAAGUGCCAGCAAGCUGUAAAGAAUACAGCUGGAAAGGGGGCAGCGUUAUUUUCUACACUCUAGGUGCUGACUACAUAGAACCCACGGCUCUGCUGGAAAAUGCAGGGCUGCAAGUGCCAAUUCAGUGGAUUUUAAGUCAAAUGAGCCAGAGCCCCCACCUGAGCCUCUUUGGCUGGGCAGGAAGCUGGGACAGUGGCCUGACAGCAGGACUCAUGGACCAGGCUGAAAGAAGCCCCCUCCUCCUCCUUCAGCUCUGUGGCCUGCACCAGCUAUUUCCCAAAACGAGGAGCUGGUGUCAUGACUUUCAUGCCAAGAUUUUUCUCAGGUAAGCAGAUAGGAUUUUUAUGUGCAACUAAGAGUAGAUCUAAAAUUACGUUGGGACUAAUAUAUAUGCAAAAGGAGUAACCUCAACUUUUGAGGGGUGGACAGAACACUUCUGAAUUAUUUUGAUAGUUCAGUCCAGUGAAGGAUCUAAUGUCUAUCUUCAUCACCCCCAACCCCAACAAAGAAAGAGUCCCCCUUUUGUAGCAAGCUAAGGAUAUCAGAGCCCUUAUCCCACUGAGUGAUUCUGUGUAUUUACCUGUAUUUGUUAUUGUAAUUGUUUUGUCUGUUUCCUAUCAGAGUUCAGUAAUAACUCUAAGAGCUGUUUAUUCCUUUUGAUGAUCUAGAUUUAGUAAAAUGCUUGAUAUAUAGUAAUUUUUAGAUAAAUAUUUGUUAAAUGAAUGCAAA